AUACGGAGGAUGCGAGCGUUAUCCGGAUUUAUUGGGUUUAAAGGGAGCGUAGGUGGAUUGUUAAGUCAGUUGUGAAAGUUUGCGGCUCAACCGUAAAAUUGCAGUUGAAACUGGCAGUCUUGAGUACAGUAGAGGUGGGCGGAAUUCGUGGUGUAGCGGUGAAAUGCUUAGAUAUCACGAAGAACUCCGAUUGCGAAGGCAGCUCACUAGACUGUUACUGACACUGAUGCUCGAAAGUGUGGGUAUCAAACAGGAUUAGAUACCCUGGUAGUCCACACAGUAAACGAUGAAUACUCGCUGUUUGCGAUAUACAGUAAGCGGCCAAGCGAAAGCAUUAAGUAUUCCACCUGGGGAGUACGCCGGCAACGGUGAAACUCAAAUGAAUUGACGGGG
rnacentral:rRNA from 1 species